AUUGAACGCUGGCGGCAUGCCUUACACAUGCAAGUCGAACGGUAACGCGGGGCAACCUGGCGACGAGUGGCGAACGGGUGAGUAAUGCAUCGGAACGUGCCCAGUUGUGGGGGAUAACUGCUCGAAAGAGCAGCUAAUACCGCAUACGACCUGAGGGUGAAAGCGGGGGAUCGCAAGACCUCGCGCAAUUGGAGCGGCCGAUGUCAGAUUAGGUAGUUGGUGGGGUAAAGGCCUACCAAGCCGACGAUCUGUAGUUGGUCUGAGAGGACGACCAGCCACACUGGGACUGAGACACGGCCCAGACUCCUACGGGAGGCAGCAGUGGGGAAUUUUGGACAAUGGGCGCAAGCCUGAUCCAGCAAUGCCGCGUGCAGGAAGAAGGCCUUCGGGUUGUAAACUGCUUUUGUCAGGGAAGAAAUCCUCUGGGUUAAUACCCCGGGGGGAUGACGGUACCUGAAGAAUAAGCACCGGCUAACUACGUGCCAGCCGCCGCCGUAAAAC
rnacentral:rRNA from 1 species